rnacentral:rRNA from 1 species
AUUGAACGCUGGCGGCAGGCUUAACACAUGCAAGUCGAGCGGGGAAAAGUAGCUUGCUACUGGACCUAGCGGCGGACGGGUGAGUAAUGCUUAGGAAUCUGCCUAUUAGUGGGGGACAACAUCUCGAAAGGGAUGCUAAUACCGCAUACGUCCUACGGGAGAAAGCAGGGGACCUUCGGGCCUUGCGCUAAUAGAUGAGCCUAAGUCGGAUUAGCUAGUUGGUGGGGUAAAGGCCUACCAAGGCGACGAUCUGUAGCGGGUCUGAGAGGAUGAUCCGCCACACUGGGACUGAGACACGGCCCAGACUCCUACGGGAGGCAGCAGUGGGGAAUAUUGGACAAUGGGGGGAACCCUGAUCCAGCCAUGCCGCGUGUGUGAAGAAGGCCUUUUGGUUGUAAAGCACUUUAAGCGAGGAGGAGGCUACCGAGAUUAAUACUCUUGGAUAGUGGACGUUACUCGCAGAAUAAGCACCGGCUAACUCUGUGCCAGCAGCCGCCGUAA